CAAGCAGGACUAAAUACUUCCUGGUGGCCAGCAUUAUCUGCUGAGAACUAACCCAGUUUUCUUAUCUUCUAAGAGACAAGAGAAGAGAGACAAUGACUGACCUUGGAGGUGUGACAGAAAUAUCUCAAGUAGUCUAUAAGUCAGCUUUGCCAUCAUACGGCCUCUCUCAGUAUUUAAUGAGGUUAGACAGCAAAUUCCAUGCAGGCAGGAGCUUGCUGUGUGAUGCCAGGCACACAGGAGGUACGCUACAAAUGGUGGGAGCAUCACUGGGUCUGAGCACAGCUAAGAGGAGGAGGAUUUCCCAU